AAGUGGGGGACCUUGGGCCCUCACGCCAUCAGAUGUACCCAGAUGAGAUUAGCUAGUAGGUGGGGUAAUGGCUCACCUAGGCUAUGAUCUCUAGCUGGUCUGAGAGGAUGACCAGCCACACUGGAACUGAGACACGGUCUAGACUCCUACGGGAGGCAGCAGUGGGGAAUAUUGCACAAUGGGCGCAAGCCUGAUGCAGCCAUGCCGCGUGUAUGAAGAAAGCCUUCGGGUUGUAAAGUACUUUCAGCAAGAAAGAAAGUAUUUUAGUUAAUAACUAAAAUAAUUGACGUUACUUGCAAAAGAAGCACCGGCUAACUCCGUGCCAGCAGCCGCGGUAAUACGGAGGGUGCGAGCGUUAAUCGGAAUUACUGGGCUUAAAGCGUACGUAGGCGGUUAAUUAAGUUAGAUGUGAAAUCCCCGAGCUUAACUUGGGAAUUGCAUUUAAAACUGGUUAGCUAGAGUCUUGUAGAGGGGGGUAGAAUUCUAGGUGUAGCGGUGAAAUGCGUAGAUAUCUAGAGGAAUACCAGUGGCGAAGGCGGCCCCCUGGACAAAGACUGACGCUCAGGUACGAAAGCGUGGGGAGCAAACAGGAUUAGAUACCCUGGUAGUCCACGCCGUAAACGAUGUCGACUUGGAGGUUGUGCCCUUGAGGUGUGGCUUCCGGAGCUAACGCGUUAAGUCGACCGCCUGGGGAGUACGGCCGCAAGGCUAAAACUCAAAUGAAUUGACGGGGGCCCGCACAAGCGGUGGAGCAUGUGGUUUAAUUCGAUGCAACGCGAAAAACCUUACCUACUCUUGACAUUCAGAGAAUUUGCUAGAGAUAGCUUAGUGCCUUCGGGAGCUUUGAAACAGGUGCUGCAUGGCUGUCGUCAGCUCGUGUUGUGAAAUGUUGGGUUAAGUCCCGCAACGAGCGCAACCCUUGUCCUUUGUUGCCAGCACGUAAAGGUGGGAACUCAAAGGAGACUGCCGGUGAUAAGCUGGAGGAAGGUGGGGAUGACGUCAAGUCAUCAUGGCCCUUACGAGUAGGGCUACACACGUGCUACAAUGGCAUAUACAAAGAGCAGCAAACUCGCGAGAGCAAGCGAACCUCAUAAAGUAUGUCGUAGUCCGGAUUGGAGUCUGCAACUCGACUCCAUGAAGUCGGAAUCGCUAGU
rnacentral:rRNA from 1 species